UACGUAGGGCGCAAGCGUUGUCCGGAAUUAUUGGGCGUAAAGAGCUCGUAGGCGGCUCGUCGCGUCGAGUGUGAAAGCUCACGGCUUAACCGUGGGUCUGCAUCCGAUACGGGCGGGCUAGAGGCAGGUAGGGGAGAACGGAAUUCCCGGUGUAGCGGUGAAAUGCGCAGAUAUCGGGAGGAACACCGGUGGCGAAGGCGGUUCUCUGGGCCUGUACUGACGCUGAGGAGCGAAAGCGUGGGGAGCGAACAGG
rnacentral:rRNA from 1 species